AACGACUCUCAGCAACGGAUAUCUUGGCUCUUGCAACGAUGAAGAACGCAGCGAAAUGCGAUACCUAGUGUGAAUUGCAGAAUUCCGCGAAUCGUCGAGUCUUUGAACGCAAGUUGCGCCCGAGGCUUGUCCCGAGGGCAUGCCUGCCUGAGCGUCACC
rnacentral:rRNA from 1 species